GACGAACGCUGGCGGCGUGCUUAACACAUGCAAGUCGAACGGACAGGCCCUGCUUUUGUGGGGUGCUCGAGUGGCGAACGGGUGAGUAACACGUGAGUAACAUGCCCUUGACUUUGGGAUAACUCCAGGAAACUGCGGCUAAUACCGGAUAGGAGCUCCUGCUGCAUGGUGGGGGUUGGAGAGAUUCGGCGGUUGGGGCUCGACUAGCGGCUUAUCCGCUUGUUGGGGGGGUAGUGGCUUACCAAGGUUUUGACGGGUAGCCGGCCUGAGAGGGUGACCGGCCACAUUGGGACUGAGAUACGGCCCAGACUCCUACGGGAGGCAGCAGUGGGGAAUAUUGCACAAUGGGCGGAAGCCUGAUGCAGCAACGCCGCGUGCGGGAUGACGGCCUUCGGGUUGUAAACCGCUGUCGCCUGUGACGAAGCGUGAGUGACGGUAAUGGGUAAAGAAGCACCGGCUAACUACGUG
rnacentral:rRNA from 1 species